UUACUGCUGGAGCAGAUGGUGAAGUCCAGCUGAAAGUGGGAGAGAGCUGAUGCAGACUGAACUAGAGGAAAGGAGCACUCAGGAAUCAAAUGCAGACCAAAGUCAUCAGUGAAGAGUGUAAAUAGCAGUUCACCAUGCAUGAUUACAAGGGGUAUCCUUCUGCUGCUGGAGGGGGAGGUUGCCAUGGAGACAUGCAGAGCAAGAGCCACUGGAGUAACUGGAAGACAUGGAUAAAGAAAGUCUGCACAAUACAGCCACUAGAUACAAAAGACAGUGACAGCAGGCAGUCAGACUACAGUACCUCAUUAAAGCGCAGUUUAAAGCGCAAAGGUUUCUACGGGGCUGCAAUGAGUAAAUAUGCUUCAAGGUACAGCCACCUGUUAGCCACCGGGGACAGGGCAGCAGCCACAAGGAGCCAGGUGAGAGGAACAGCCGGGCAGAAUAUAUACCACCAAUGGGUGUCUCUGACCCUACUCCCACAGCAGACCCUCUGCAGCACCAGGUAACCAGUGCCACCAAACCCGGUCACGAAGGCAAAAAUAUGCAAGCAAGGAAAAGGGAAAAGAAGCACUACUAAUAGUAGAAGUAAAUAAGUAAUGCUGUCAGUAAUAGUACAAAUAAUGCUCAGCUUGGGGCUGAUACAGAGCUGAAUGCAAAUCAAUUUGCAAAGUGUAUCCUAUGUGUUUUGCCACAGGACGCAGUUAUGAUGUUGACAUUGCUGAAAUGUCGACAUUGAACUUGACAUCUGCAGAAUGUCAACAUGUUUACAAUAUUGACAUGUGAAAGUGUUCAGAAUGUCAACAUUUAUAAUGUUGACCAUCUAGGCCUGUGGAAGCUAGUGUUAGGAAGUUAGGCUACAGGAUGGGAGGGAUAGGUUUAAUCACUGGGGGACGGUUAGAGAUAUGCUGUGAGGGUUGAAGGUAAGGUUAAGCACUAAGUGGUUAGUGAUACUCACCCCUGGAAGCACUGCAUGAACAGACAGAAGUCAUAGCCAGCUGACUACUGGACUUGGAAAACAUUGAUGAUGCUGUGAGAGUGUGGUCUACAUAGGGUGUGUGGCCUGUGCCAUGGGGUAUACCUAGCACCAUUGAGGGAUCAUAGCUAUGACCUACCUUCAACCACCUCAGUCUCCUUCUCCUCUUCACUUAUAACAAUAGUUUAAUGUUAGAGUCUGCAAAUGAACAAAGGGAAAAGAUCCCUGGGAGUUUCUGGUAUAUACCAAACAUUUUCACUCUUGACCACUAAGCAAUUGUUUGGAACAGUCAAACUGUUAUUUUGAUGUUCAAUAAAGCGCCAUUCCAUACAAUGCCUGUGUCUUAAACAGUUCAAUAAAGA